GAAACGUUGCUCGGCGCGCAAGGAUGCCGAAUGUGGUGACAGAGGCGAUGAUUGAGUCUUAUGCGCUCAUGUUUUUGGUGAUGUCAGCGUUUUUUGUAUACUUUUGUGGCAUGGUCUGGGCAUUCUGCAACCCUAAACUCAGCGGCUUCGCUGAAGAAACAGAGUGCGACACGAGCAGUUUUUCACAAGUCCCUCUGCAACAAAUCUUUGCGGAUCCUGAAGAUGUGGAAACAACCCAGCCGGCGCAUGCACGACACGAAUCGCUGGAUCAACCGACACGCACUUACAUCGCUUCAUCCUAUAUUGUGGAUUAAUAUUUAGUUUAUAGAAAACAGCACAAAAUAUGCUCCAGCUUCAUUAGAGUUAUAUUUAUUGUAGUUUACCCGAACAUAUGCACGUGUAACCAGAGGACUUCAGCGUCAAGACAAAGGGAAGUGCAUCUUUAUGAUCUUCGUCACCAUGGCGACCCAUCAAUAUCUGCAAUCUCCCUACAUUGCUGACUCUCAUCCAGAGAAUUACAAUCAUUAGUUUCUGAUAUGUAAAUUAAUUUAAUGUUAUGUAGUUGAAUAAAUUGGUACAAGGCACUA